rnacentral:rRNA from 1 species
AACGAACGCUGGCGGCAUGCCUAACACAUGCAAGUCGAACGAGACCUCCGGGCCUUGUGGCGCACGUGUGCGUAACGCGUGGGAACCUGCCCUUAGGUUCGGAACAACUCCCCGAAAGGGGUGCUAAUACCGGUUAAUGUCAUCGGACCAAAGAUUUAUCGCCUUUGGAUGGGCCCGCGUUGGAUUGGCUGGUUGGUAGGGUAAAAGCCUACCAAGGCGUCGAUGCAUAGCUGGUCUGGGAGGAGGACCAGCAACGAUGGGGCUGAGACACGGCCCAGACUCCUACGGGAGGGAGCAGUAGAGAAUAUUGGACAAUGGGCGAAAGCCUAAUCCAGCAAUGCCGCGUGAGUGAUGAAGGCCUUAGGGUUGUAAAGCUCUUUUACCCGGGAUGAUAAUGACGGUACCGGGUGAAUAAGCUCCGGCUAACUCCGUG